CUCAGACACGAUCCUUUCGCUUUCUCAACACCUACCAGCAAUUGCACCUCCAAUCAAUCCAAAGAUUAAAAAAAAAAAAAAAAAAACAGUAGGCCAAUUGGGGUCCCCUUCCAUUGUGAUGUGGAUUCUCCCAAUUGUGUGUUGUUCCUUUCACUAUCUCUCUCUUUCACACAUUGAGGUCAGACCAGCAAGUACCACCCACAUUACCCCCCAAUUUAUUAACCCUUCUCUUCCUUCACCAUUCUCAUCAUAGCUACCCAACAGUUCCAAACCCAGUUCAGUUUUCUCUUUCCCUUUCCCUUUGCCUUUGCUGGGGCAGGGGUCAGAUUAAUUUCCUGUUCAGAUUUCAAUUCAUAUUUUUUGUUUCUUGGUUUCUGUUCAAAGCUAGUUUUGGGAGCCAAUACUGUGAUAUUACCGCGACUGACUUCAUGGUUACAUGAAAUGAAAUAAUCCCUUCAUGAUGAUUACCACUUCACUUUUUACUUCCCCCCUCCUUCACACCUCUACUUUACUUAUUAUUUCCCUUUGCUUUCUUCUUCUUUCUCCGGUCUCUUCCCUUCGCCACCUGCAGUCUUCAACCUCCCCUGAUCGGGGACUCUCUUUUGUGGAGAAAAUCAGGCUGGGAUCAACUCCUCCGAGCUGCCAUAACAAAUGCAACGGAUGCCACCCUUGCAUGGCAGUCCAAGUGCCUACAAUACCCACCCACAACCGGUUUCAACCAGGUUUGAGCAAAGCCAUCAGUAAUUCCAUGCGGUUUUUUCACCCAUCAACUAACCAAUACUCCAAUUACAAGCCUCUCGGAUGGAAAUGCCGCUGCGAUGAUCACUUUUACAACCCUUGAACAUAUCAUAACCAUUUUAUAUUAAAGGUUUGGAAUUAAUGUUCAUUGGUUCCAAGCUUCUGUAAACCCUAUUUCACCUCUUUUUCCCUGUUAGGAUCUAAAAUUAAAUUGUUUAACAUGGGGGGUUUGGUGGGUCGCUGGGAUUCUUUGCAGAUUUUCACCAUUAAAUGUAUAAUAUAAAAAUAGCCAUGUACAGAUAAGUUGCAACAAACCCGUGAGUUUUUAUCGUUAGCAAUCUUAGAUAUCAUGUUUAUAUUUA